CGGCUCUCGCAGGAGUCUGGAUGGAGUCUUCCUUCAGUUGAAGUCGGGGAUGAGGUCCGGCUCCCACAGGAGUCCGGACGGAGUCUUCCCACAGCUGGAGCUGGAGACGAGGUCUGGCUCCCAUAGGAGCUCGGGCGAAGUCUAUCUGCAAUCAAAGUCAGGGGUGAAGUCCGACUCCCUUAGGAGUCCGAACGAAAUUUACCAGCAAUCGGGGUCG
rnacentral:lncRNA from 1 species